rnacentral:rRNA from 1 species
AUGGCUAGUGCUAGAGUGGUUGCCAUGUUCUACCUUGUAGUUUCUGUGACGGUCUCUUUUUUCCCAAACUAUACAUGGGCAAGUAAGUCUCAAGCUGCCAUUGAAAAAGAUGAGGUGAUGGAACAUUGUAAGUUCACUAGAAAAGGUGCGCACUGGCCAUUCGAACCAAGCAAGGCAUGCUGCCAAGUAGUGAUGCGUUCAGUGAACCUCCUAGCAAUUUGCAACGCGUUUACCGCCAUAGAUUUGGCACAGAUCGAUCUACAGAGGUGGGCUGCCGUCACUCAUUCGUGCGGUAACGCGUUGCAUGAAGGAGACAAUUGUGAAAUUAGUUAA